CUGGGGCCUGUUGCACAAAAGUAGAAUGAAGAAAUCCAGGAUAACUGAAAAAGCGCAGCUUGACUUAGUGUGAUCCGCUCGUCGCGGCUUAAUCGGUUGCACUGGAGCAGGUUAGCUG